rnacentral:sRNA from 1 species
GCACCUCUAUCUUGCUGAGCUCCAGCCAAAGAAGGAAGAUUUCUUUAAAGCCUCAUGCAACACAUCAUUAUCGCUGGAUGCCCAGACAUUUAAUACACCUGACAGGUUGUGAAGUGCUCAGAAUGGGGCAGGAUGUCACCUGGAAUCAGCACUAAGUGAUUCAGACUUUCCUUACUUUUAAAUGGGCUGCUGACACCAGCUAAUGGACAUUAAAAGAUGUCAGGAGGAACUUAAAUGACUAACCAUUUCAAGACAAGGGGUGCUAAUUCUGGCACAGUGUCAGAAACUCAUCAACUAUAGACUGUUCAAUCAUUAUUGCCUAGGCAUCCAACUAUGGUUUUGCACCACAACAUACCAAAGAGUGCUGCUCUUCAAGAUGCCGUUGCAGCUCUGAUAAAUGCAAACUGACAACCUUCAAGGCCACAACGGAGGGAAAAUCAUUGGUGCUUGGAGCAUAGAAGACUGCCCUUCACAAAGGAAAUCCCUGAUUAUUGUUUGAAAUGCUGAGGACGUUGCUGCGAAGGAGACUUUUUUC